UACAGAGGUCUCAAGCGUUGUUCGGAUUCAUUGGGCGUAAAGGGUGCGUAGGCGGCGCAGAAAGUAGGGUGUGAAAGCCCUCGGCUUAACCGAGGAAUUGCGCUCUAAACUACUGUGCUUGAGGGACCUAGAGGUGAGCGGAACUGAUGGUGGAGCGGUGAAAUGCGUUGAUAUCAUCAGGAACACCGGAGGCGAAGGCGGCUCACUGGGGGUCUUCUGACGCUGAGGAACGAAAGCCAGGGGAGCGAACGGG
rnacentral:rRNA from 1 species